UACGAAGGGUGCAAGCGUUGCUCGGAAUCAUUGGGCGUAAAGCGCACGUAGGCGGCUUCAACAGUCGGAUGUGAAAUCCCGUGGCUCAACCAUGGACGUGCAUUCGAAACUGCGAAGCUUGAGUAUGGAAGAGGGUCGCGGAAUUCCCGGUGUAGAGGUGAAAUUCGUAGAUAUCGGGAGGAACACCAGUGGCGAAGGCGGCGACCUGGGCCAAUACUGACGCUGAGGUGCGAAAGCGUGGGGAGCAAACAGG
rnacentral:rRNA from 1 species